AAAGGAAUAGACGGGGGCCCGCACAAGCGGUGGAGCAUGUGGUUUAAUUCGACGCAACGCGAAGAACCUUACCAGGUUUUGACAUCCUCUGACGACCCAAGAGAUUGGGAGUUCGGUCUUCGGACUGACAGAGAGACAGGUGGUGCAUGGUUGUCGUCAGCUCGUGUCGUGAGAUGUUGGGUUAAGUCCCGCAACGAGCGCAACCCUUAUUGUUAGUUGCCAGCACUUCGGGUGGGCACUCUAAUGAGACUGCCGGUGACAAACCGGAGGAAGGUGGGGACGACGUCAAAUCAUCAUGCCCUUUAUGGCCUGGGCUACACACGUGCUACAAUGGCCUGUACAGAGGGAAGCAAAGCUGCGAAGUGGAGCAAAUCCCAAAAAGCAGGUCUCAGUUCGGAUUGCAGGCUGCAACUCGCCUGCAUGAAGUCGGAAUCGCUAGUAAUCGCGAAUCAGCAUGUCGCGGUGAAUACGUUCCCGGGCCUUGUACACACCGCCCGU
rnacentral:rRNA from 1 species